GUUGCUUCAAGGUAGAUGAUGGUUUAACCUCUGUGAUGGCUAUUCUUGGUUGCCAACUGGACUCCAUCUGGAAUGAACUAAAACCCAAGCAUCUGCGCACUCUUGUGAGAGAUUUUUCUUGAUUAGUUCAUUUGAAGACCCACCUUAAAUCUGGGCCACACCUUCUUUUGGCAGCCUAUAGAAAGAACAUGGAAGAAGGAGGCUCUUGUCCUUUGUCUUCUUGCCCUUACUCUCAUUGGCAAGUCCAUUCCUUCUCUGGCAUUAAAGCCUACUUCUUUGGGACUCUGCAGUAUACUGAAGACCAGCCAAGACAUCCAGCUUUGGACUGAACAACCAUUGAAUUCUUGGACCUUCUGUUGGGAGACAACAAUUGUUGGGAUAGUCAGUUCACCACAGCCUGCCAACAAUGGCUAUCUUUACACUGGAGAAGCUGAGAACUGGGUAGCUGUUUGGCCUUUGAGGUUGGGUGCCUGGGUCGUUGCAACCUGAUGCUGUAAGCCUGGAGGAUACCUGGAGAACAACUGGUGUUCCAUGUCGGGAGCCUCAAGAAGCUAGGUUCUAAUGCCAGUGAAGUUAUGGUGCAGCAGCAGCAGUGGCAGCAGGGCAGAUGAACUUGAUGGUGAGACACAAGAUCAGAAGCAGCGCGCAGAAACCCAUCUGAGAUGGCUGGUCGCUAUUGUCAACUCGACUACAUCUGGAAUCACCUAAAACCCAAGCUGCUGGGCCCUCCUGUGAGGGACUUCCUGGUUAAGACUAUUUGAAGCAGGAAGACCAACCCUAAAUCCUGGGGAGGAACAGGUAUAUUUGGCUUAUGCUACGCCUUCUGGUAGCAGCCCACAGAAAAGGACUUGGAAGAUAGAAACUUUGCUUUUCACCUGCCUGCCCUCACUCUCAAUGGCAGGUUCGCCUAUCCUGCUGUAGUCAAUUCUUCAGGACUCCAAUGUAGACUGAAGACCAGCAGGACUCCCCCAGGACUGCACUACCAGACUGGCACUGGUGAGCUACCUAGCAUUGUGAACUGAAAAACCACUGAAUUCUUGGUUUUUCAUCAUAAGGCAGCCAUUGUUGAACUACCCAGACCACAUCCUGUAAGCCAGCCUAAUCUCCUUUUAAUAUUGUCUUAGUUAGGGUUACUAUUUCUGAGAUGAAACACCAUGGCCAAAAAUGACCUGGGGAGGAACAGGUAUAUUUGGCUUAUGCUUACAUAUUAUGGUCCAUCUCUGAAGGCAGUCUAAGUAUUCAUUCAUUCAUUCAUUCAUUCAUUCAUUCAUUCAGUCUGUUCCUUCAGAAAAUCCUAGGUAAUACAUACCCUUCCCUGCCUUGAGGUGCACUGGUGUCUUCACCAAGGGUGUGGCCACUUGAAGCUGUGGGGCACUGGGGAGAACUUCAGGUACAGUGUAGAGCUGCAAUGUCUCAGCUGGAAGCUGCCACAGGGCCAUUCUGAAAAUCUGUGAAAUCGAUGCUGAUACCCCUGUCAUUGUCUUACGGUGUGUAACUUGCUUGGUUUCACUUAGUCACACAUUAAGUUGAAGAGCUAUUUUGUUUCACCUAAAAUCUUACCUUGAGCCUCACCCAGUCUUACUUAAGUGAUACUUACAUGCAGCUUGGGACUGCAGUUCUUAGAAUUGACUCAGUAAUGAACUGAGGUUACUGGGAUAGAAUUAUUAUAUUUUGCAUAAGGGGUGGGGAUCAACUUCUAGGGACUAAAGGUAUAUAUUUUCUUGAAAAUUUAUAUGUUAUAUGGACCAAGGCAGUCCCCCCCUUUUUUUGUCUGAUGGAACUCCCAUUAAAAAAAGUCUCAAAACCAAGUGAACCUAACACUAUUUUGUUAGCUCUCCAUUACUAUAACAAAAUACCCAAGAAAUCAACUUAAAGGAAGAAAGGCUAUUUUGUUUCACAGUUUCAGAGGCUUCUGUCCAUUGUGUGAAUCUAUUCUGUUGACUCUGGACCUAUGAUAAAGCAAAGUAAAUGCAAUUUAAGGCUGCUUAUCUUACAAUAGCCAGAAAGCAGAUCAAGGGAGGGGCAGAUACAAGACAUACCUGUCAGGACACAACUAAACUAUCCAGACAUCAACUUUCUCCAACCAGCCCUACCUCCUAAUCUCCCAGUGUUGCAAUCAGCUAGCAUCUAAGCCUUCGGCACAUGGCCACUGGAGACAUUUCAGAUCACAACUAUAUCACAGUAUACUGAACCAAGGAUUUAAAGGAUGACAGCAAAGAUGUGUCCCUCAUGAUGAUGGUACCAUCUAAAUGACUCUUUACUAUCUCAUGCUUGUUUUAGGACAUUUGUGUUAUACUAGCAUAGUUUGUGAUGUCUUCAUAAACGCAGGUGGAGAGGGGCUGUGUACUCAUUGUGUUCUUUAGGUAGGGAUUUGUAGAUUUCCAGGUCAAACAUGGCCAGUGACCAUCCCACACCAUCCAUAGUGUAAGUGAUGCUCACAGCCUGCAGACAGAGAAAGCUUUUAGCAUUGAAAGUUUUCGUCUGUUAGAAAGUGUGUAGGUAACCAAACACUUCGGAUAACUGACGUUUAAAUAUAAAUUGAUUUAGGAUUAGUGCAAGCUCUAAGGGUCUUAUAGUUAUGUUCAAGUUGGGUAGAGUGGCAUAACACUUGAAUUCUAUCUCCUUUUCUUUUUUUUUUUUUUUUUUUUUUUCCGAGACAGGGUUUUUCUCUGUGUGUCUUUGUAGAGCAGGCUGGCCUUGAACUCAAAGAGAUUCACCUGUCUCUGCCUCUGGAGUGCUGAGAUCAAAGGUGUGCGCCACCACCACCUGGCCUCUAUCUCCUUUUUAAAGCAACAAUAAAAGCAAAAUAUCUCUGGAGACUUUUCCAGAACACAGUUUUUCUUUUCCUUUUUGGUCUUCGAGACAGGGUCUUUCGGAAUAACUAUGGCUGGCCUGGUCCUUAUUAAAUAGCUCAGGGCUGGCUUCAAAGUUGCUGCAAUCCUCCUGUGUUCUCAAGUAUUAGGAUUGCAAGCAUGUAAUCUAUGUAAUCCACCAUACCUGCCUCCAAGAGAUAAGUUUCCUGAGAGGCUUCCAAGUCUUUGUGGCUUAUAGGAGGCACGGAGGUCUUUGUGCUCAUAGAUAAGCUUUAGGGGAACCUGGAAUGUUAACACAUAGAGUUGUUUCUUCAAGGGAAGGAAUGCAAUACCUGUUUUCCACCCAGAAGGCUGGAGUGGGUGUGCUUCCUAGCCUGGGGACCUUUGCUCCAUCUGUGUGGCUAGAGACUUUUACAGCACUAGACCCUCCCCCAGACUCUUAUCACAAUUUUUUUUCAAUCAAUCUAUAGAACCUAUCUUUAUGGUAUUUGCAAAGAAUUCCAGUGUAGUCAUGUCUGAUAUGUAUUUAGCUUACCUUGUUCCUCAAGGAGAUGUAUGUAUGCUUUGUUGUGCACAUGAGAUUGAGUUACUUAUCACCAGAAUAGUUUUCAUCAAAUUGUGCUGUGCUUAAGUAUGACUAAAAUAAACCUCUUUGGAGUCAGACUCCCAAAGUUUGAACCAACAUCGGCUACUGAGUUGCAUUGAGCUAAACUGCCUAAUUGCCACCUGCAGCUCAUCACUCUGCUGGCUGUAAAGAGGGCAGUGACUCCCUGCAAUGAUUCUGUCUUGAUUUCUUCAUUCUGUCUUCAGCAAAAUAUUUUAUUUAUGAAAAAUUAAAACUUUGUAAAUUUUUCUACUGAACUUAAAUAAUAAUUCUUGUCACUUAUUUAUAUAGUUAAGGUUUGAGUUGCCUUUGUAUCUCUAU
rnacentral:lncRNA from 1 species